rnacentral:rRNA from 1 species
UACGGGGGGGGCAAGCGUUGUUCGGAAUUACUGGGCGUAAAGGGCUCGUAGGCGGCCAACUAAGUCGGAUGUGAAAUCCCCAGGCUCAACUUGGGAACUGCAUCCGAUACUGGAUGGCUUGAAUUCGGGAGAGGGAUGCAGAAUUCCAGGUGUAGCGGUGAAAUGCGCAGAUAUCAGGAGGAACACCGGUGGCGAAGGCGGGUCUCUGGGCCGAUACUGACGCUGAGGAGCGAAAGCGUGGGGAGCGAACAGG